UACGGAGGGUGCAAGCGUUAUCCGGAAUCAUUGGGUUUAAAGGGUCCGCAGGCGGAUGUAUAAGUCAGUGGUGAAAGCCUACAGCUUAACUGUAGAACUGCCAUUGAUACUGUACGUCUUGAAUUCGGUCGAAGUGGGCGGAAUGUGUAGUGUAGCGGUGAAAUGCUUAGAUAUUACACAGAACACCGAUAGCGAAGGCAGCUCACUAGGCCUGAAUUGACGCUCAUGGACGAAAGCGUGGGGAGCAAACAGGAUUAGAUACCCUGGUAGUCCACGCCGUAAACUAUCAAUACUCGUUUUCGGCGAUAUACAGUCGGAGACUAAGCGAAAGUGAUAAGUAUUGCACCUGGGGAGUACGAUCGCAAGGUUG
rnacentral:rRNA from 1 species